GCAGCUGGUCCGCAGCCUCCACCACGCCUUCCACCCAAUCUAGUCUCAAGAGGGCCGCCUUGUGAUCUUCCAAAAGUGCAAAUCAAUUGUGCCCCAGUCUUUGGUGCGCUCCAAUCCUCUUAUGGCCUAGCUGGUCUCCCCCACAUUUCUCACCACUCACCCCUCACUCUACAAUCCCAGGGCUCCCCCAUCUCUUUCCAUUUCCUCCAGCAAGUCGAGCUGGUUCUGCUAGACUGCACAGCUGGUCUCUGAAUUCCUCUGGGAAGACUGGCCUUCUGAUCAGGAAAGAACGAUCUUUUCAACAAAUGGUUCUGGGACGACUGGAUAUCCACACAUGAAAGAAAGAAUUUGGACCCGGACUUCCCACCAGACACAAAAAGGAACUCAAAAUGGAUCAAGCACUUAAAUGAACAGAUACAGGCACCAGGGUGCUUUCCGUGGACACUUGUUGACGGACCACAUGAGGAUUUAGAACAGAGCUUGCUGCAUACGACAGAAGCCCUGCUGGGAUGGCUUCAACAGGUGAGGACGGCGGAGGCUGGAGUGGGGCCAGCGGCUGGUACAGCAGCUCCAUAUGCUGCCAGGAGCCCGGGCACCUCUGACUUUCCGUGAGUGUCCCCCAUGUGCUUCUGCGGUCCUGCGGUCACAGCGGGGCUGCUGUGCUUCCAGGCACCACACCUGAGGUGCUGGCAGGGGGAAGGGGUGAGGGCAAAUAGCAAUCCAGCCUCACCUGCCCACUUUUAUUAAAGCAACAGCUUUCCCAGAAGUCCUACCCUGUAGACUUCCACCUCGUCUCACGGCCACAACUAGGCCAACAGUCACUCCUGAUGACAAAGCAGUCCUGAAAAUCAACUAUGGGGUAAUGUAUAUACUGCUGCCCAGACAAAAUUUGGGGUUUGUGAGUGAGGGGGAAGGAGGAAAUAGCCACUAGGGAGGAGACAAACAGUGUUGAGUGCUUGAAGACACAGACCCCAGCUAGACUGGCCUCCUCUUUGCAGGCGUAGAGGGGGAGGGAUGUCAGGUUCUGUGGCUCCUUAGACGCCCAUUCCCCAAUCGCUUUCUCCAUUCUCUGUGUACGGUGGGUCAUUGUCAGUGAGCUUCAGGGGC
rnacentral:lncRNA from 1 species